AUGGGGGACACAUCAAACUCAACGGUAGGGAGCUGUGUUAUAGAUCCUUCACCAAAACAGCAGGGGAGGCACUCUGCCAAUCAAAAGGGCUGCAGUAUGGGUCGCAUAACAGUUGUAAGACUUAUAAAUGGAGAGUCUGAGACGGAAGGUAGAGUAGAGCUGUUGCAUGACGGGAAAUGGGGUACGGUCUGUGACGACAUGUUUGAUAAAGCAGAUGCUGAUGUCAUCUGUAGAAUGAUUGGUUACAAAGAGGCAAGUCAAGUGUUUAAAUAUGCCCACUUUUCAAACGGAUACGGACCAAUCUGGCAAGACAAUUUACAAUGCGUGGGAAAUGAGACAGACAUCGGAGACUGUCCCUCAAAUGGAUGGGGAAACACUGACUGUGGUCACGGGGAGGACGCUGGGGUUUCUUGUGGUUAG
rnacentral:sRNA from 1 species